CAGUAGCCACGGUAAUACAGAGGAUGCAAGCGUUAUCCGGAAUGAUUGGGCGUAAAGCGUCUGUAGGUGGCUUUUCAAGUCUGCCGUCAAAUCCCCGGGCUCAACCCUGGACAGGCAGUGGAAACUACCAAGCUGGAGUAUGGUAGGGGGGCCUGGAACUUCCGGUGGAGCAGUGAAAUGCGUUGAGAUCGGAAGGAACGCCCGUGGCGAAAGCGAGGCCCUGGACCCUUACUGACGCUGAGACGCGAAAGCCAGGGGAGCGAACGGGAUUAGAUACCCGAGUAGUCCCUGUCUCUUAUAA
rnacentral:rRNA from 1 species